rnacentral:rRNA from 1 species
UACGUAGGGGCCUAGCGUUGUCCGGAAUUAUUGGGCGUAAAGAGCUCGUAGGCGGUUUGUCACGUCUGCUGUGAAAUCCCGAGGCUCAACCUCGGGCCUGCAGUGGGUACGGGCAGACUGGAGUGCGGUAGGGGAGAAUGGAAUUCCUGGUGUAGCGGUGGAAUGCGCAGAUAUCAGGAGGAACACCGAUGGCGAAGGCAGUUCUCUGGGCCGUAACUGACGCUGAGGAGCGAAAGCGUGGGGAGCGAACAGG